rnacentral:rRNA from 1 species
UCCGUAGGUGGCGAGCGUUAUCCGGAUUUACUGGGCGUAAAGGGUGUGCAGGCUGCCCCUCAAGUGGUGUCUGAAAGGGCUCGGCUCAACCGGGCUAGGUUAUGCCAGACUGAGGGGCUAGAGAGCGAGAGCGGGACGUGGAAUUCCGGGUGUAGUGGUGAAAUGCGUAGAGAUCCGGAGGAACCCCAGAGGCGAAGGCGGCGUCCUGGCUCGCAUCUGACGCUCAGACACGACAGCAUGGGGAGCGAACGGG